rnacentral:misc_RNA from 1 species
AAGUCGUAACAAGGUUUCCGUAGGUGAACCUGCGGAAGGAUCAUUCUUGAUAAUGUAGUUUACGCUACCACUAAAAUAUGUGCACCGUUACUGCCAUUUGGCGGCCGAAAGGUCGUCGUUUGGCCACAAUUUAUCAUUUACCAAUAACUUAUUGUACCAGUAGUUAUAAAUAUUUAUGACAACUUUUAGCAACGGAUCUCUUGGCUCUC